rnacentral:rRNA from 1 species
AUACCCGCUGAACUUAAGCAUAUCGAUAAGGCGGAGGAA